rnacentral:rRNA from 1 species
AUUGAACGCUGGCGGCAUGCUUUACACAUGCAAGUCGAACGGUAACAGGCCUUCGGGCGCUGACGAGUGGCGAACGGGUGAGUAAUGCAUCGGAACGUGCCCAGUCGUGGGGGAUAACUAUCCGAAAGGAUAGCUAAUACCGCAUACGAUCUGCGGAUGAAAGCGGGGGACCUUCGGGCCUCGCGCGAUUGGAGCGGCCCAUGUCAGAUUAGGUAGUUGGUGGGGUAAAGGCUCACCAAGCCAACGAUCUGUAGCUGGUCUGAGAGGACGACCAGCAAAACUGGGACUGAGACACGGCCAAGACUCCUACGGGAGGCAGCAGUGGGGAAUUUUGGACAAUGGGCGCAAGCCUGAUCCAGCAAUGCGGCGUGCAGGAAGAAGGCCUUCGGGUUGUAAACUGCUUUUGUACGGAACGAAACGGCUCUGGUUAAUACCCGGGGCUAAUGACGGUACCGUAAGAAUAAGCACCGGCUAACUACGUGCCAGCCGCCGCGGUAA